AUACCAGCACUAGACCACAAAGCACUGUAUUCUCUCGGUUAAUUUGUGUUCUUUUGGAAUUGAUCAUUUAAAUUUACUAAACACAAAUUCAUAUUUGAGUUAUUCGAUUAUAUCAUUUUGCCAUCUAUACAACACGAAUAACCACCAUUAGACGUUUUCAAACAACCUUUUUAAAGUUACUAUUAGUCAAUACUUUAUUAAUUUCGUUUAUUAAUAUCGCAAAAGCUAACGCACUCUAUACAUUAAUAUUUAGUGAACAAAGAUAAGUGAUGGAAUUCACUAAUCUACCUACAGUACACGAGAUCAAGGCAGAUGACUCAACUUGCAACACACACCAUUUUUUAAAAAUAUGCACAUAAUCUAGAAUUGUAUAAUAUUCUCUUUCAAACUUCAAACGUAAUCGUAU
rnacentral:lncRNA from 1 species